rnacentral:rRNA from 1 species
UACGUAGGGACCGAGCGUUGUCCGGAAUCAUUGGGCGUAAAGAGCGUGUAGGCGGCUUGCUAAGUCUUGCGUGAAAUCUCGGGGCUCAACCCCGAGCGGUCGUGGGAAACUGGCAGGCUAGAGUGCGGGAGAGGAGAAUGGAAUUCCUGGUGUAGCGGUGAAAUGCGUAGAUAUCUGGAGGAACACCGGUGGCGAGGGCGGCAUCCUGGACCGACACUGACGCUGAGGAGCGAAAGCCAGGGGAGCAAACGGG